GCAGUUAACCUACCUAACCUAACCUGGUAGGGAGGUGAAUAACAAGCAGGCCAUGUUGCUGCUCUAGUAUCUUCUAAACUGCCUGGUAAAAUGGGCCAUAAUCUAACUAAAUGCAUUUUAAUACAGGUGCAUGCAAGCGAAGGCAACUGGGAACAAAGACUGCAGCCUUUAUCUCCAGGAUGGGCUUGGAAAGCUGUGACAGAAGGCAGCUCAGGAAUGAUUUCAGGUAACUGACUCCACAUGAGCUCUCAUUCAACAGCAUGCUGAAAGCAUCCAACAUCUUCCUUGAAUAUAUAACAAGAGAAUAUCAAACAAAGGCAGGGGAGCAUCUCGACUCUUCACAUUACUGUUGAAAUGAUUACUAUGGAUGUUAUUGGCAACUCGGGUGUCUACAAUUAAAAAGGUCACCAAAGUUCAGGAAAGGAAAGCCAUACACACUAUCCAGGCAUCAGAAAACAAGCUGUGGUACAAGAGUGGAAUGGUAUAAACUGCUCAAUUUGCUGGAAAGAAGAUUGAGGGGUGCUCCAGCCUCAGCGAGAAAUGUUCCUGACAGUUCAGCAGUCUCCAUCUCAGAGAGGAGCAGCAAGAUCUGAAGGCUGAAGCACCAGUUAAGAAAAAUUCAGUCUGGGAAGGAAAAACAAGAUGCUAGCAGGAGGGCAGGAGAUGUUGGAUCAGCUACCCAGAAGGCAGCAGUUUUACCUAUUUUACAACCAAUUCCUGUAUGUGAGACAGGAUGUUGAGUCCAGCUCAGCAGGGCUGGGCAGCUCUCAGGAACAGGGGUUGGACGCCCUGUGGAGGCAUCACCCUGUGCUAAGCUGAGCCUUGAGCCCAGAGCAGCACACUUUGUGAGUGUCCCUAGCCAAGCACCUCUGCAAGGAUCCUGCUCCUCUCUGAAGUGUCUCAUUUGGAGAAAAAAAAUGCUGUGGAUAUAAAGCAAUGUCUCUUCCUUAGUGAUUUUGGGUUGGAUUUUUUUUUUUUAAUUAUGAAAUUAUAUCUAUUUCUUUGAAAUAAAAAGUUUG
rnacentral:lncRNA from 1 species